rnacentral:lncRNA from 1 species
CCCAACUUGGGAGAAACGGAUUUAUGACGACAUUUUGUAUUCUAGAUAGGCCUAGUGGAAAAUUUUGAUAGAUAUGAAAUCUGAUUUAUUUUUUUGAAGUUUCCUCGUGUUUGUUUAUUUUGAUAUUUGUAAUUAUCAAAGAAUAAAAACUUAUUUAUUUCUUUGUAAUUAGAUUGUCUUUCAUUUCUUAACCUGAAGUAGUGUAGUGGGCCCUAUAAAUCUAAGCAGACUUGUUUCUAAUAUGGAAUACUAACACAUGCCCAUAUAUGCAAUAGUAUUCUAUAUUAGGAACAAUUUCUUCAGGUUACUAAUGAAUUUUCCUCCUUGUUUUAGCAAUAUGCCAAAGAUGAAAAGGCAAAAAUGGGAUAAAGAUGCUAUGCAAGCUGUUGUUGAAGCAGUUAAAAGCAACGAAAUGGGAUUCAAGAAGACAGCCAUGAUUUAUGACGUGCCUCGAAUGACCGUA